CGCGCUCGAUCCAGCCGCUCACUAGCGUGUCGGCGGGGAUAGCCGAACGCCGCCCGGUGACUGCUGCUCCCGCGGCGUCGCGAGUCGCUGAGCCGCCCGGGUCACCCGGGCUCCCCGCGCGCCGCGUCGCGGCGGAGCAGAGCCCGCGCUCGGACGAUGUCCGCCGGCGCCGGCCGCCCGCUGUCUCGCUGCAGGAGCCGGUGGACAUCGGGGCGCUCGGGUAGGCGAGGGCGGCUCGGGAGGCGGGCGUGCAGGGUGAGCCCGAGGUAUUCCUUUGUCAUUUUUCAUGUAUAUAUUGAAUCCUGAUCAUAACUGUAUGAUGGUCGAUACCAUUGAGGAGUGGUAAGUAUCAAAUAAUGAUUUUGCUACUGCUGUUAUUUACAGUACUGUAUUGACUUUUUUUCAACC
rnacentral:lncRNA from 1 species